rnacentral:tRNA from 1 species
GGGGCUAUAGCUUAGUGGUAUAGUCUUUGCCUAGCAUGCAUAGUGGCCUGGGUUCAAUCCCCAGUGCCCCA